AGCGAACGCUGGCGGCAGGCCUAACACAUGCAAGUCGAACGAAGUCUUCGGACUUAGUGGCGGACGGGUGAGUAACACGCGGGAACGUGCCUUUAGGUUCGGAAUAACUCAGGGAAACUUGUGCUAAUACCGAAUGUGCCCUUCGGGGGAAAGAUUAUCGCCUUUAGAGCGGCCCGCGUCUGUUUAGCUAGUUGGUGAGGUAAAGGCUCACCAAGGCGACGAUCAGUAGCUGGUCUGAGAGGAUGAUCAGCCACAUUGGGACUGAGACACGGCCCAAACUCCUACGGGAGGCAGCAGUGGGGAAUCUUGCGCAAUGGGCGAAAGCCUGACGCAGCCAUGCCGCGUGAAUGAUGAAGGUCUUAGGAUUGUAAAAUUCUUUCACCGGGGACGAUAAUGACGGUACCCGGAGAAGAAGCCCCGGCUAACUUCGUGCCAGCCGCCGCAGUAAAAC
rnacentral:rRNA from 1 species